UACACUUUCAGGUCUGGGCAGCUCUGAUGUCACCGUGGAGAUACUUACCAGGCCUUGGAGUGACAGGGGCCAUUGGGGUCACCCCACGAAUUCCCCAUGUUUACCAGGAAGAUGUGUGAGAACUUGGCUUCCCAUGCUUCCUGGGACCUGAGCCUCUGUGAACAAGGUGGAUUUAAUCCUCGCAAUCUCUACGGAGUCCCCGCCCCAACAACACCAAGGCCGUUGGCCCUGUCUGUUCCCUCAGGGCACCCAGCGCCUGCUUGGCUGACUGGUGCCGCUGAGCAGCCCAGAAAGAAUGUGACCCAGGAGGGUCCUCACGCAGGCACCAGGCGGGAGCUUUGGGAGGCUGUCAGCACAGAAAACAACUUGCCUGACGAGAGAGCAGAAAACUGCAAAAGGCCGCGGCCCCAGAGGCCUGAACCACUGCUUAGCCAUCUGCAGCGUGAUGGAUGAUAAGCAUCUAUGUGCACCAGUGAGUUGAAAGAAAACUGUAACUGUUCCGGGAAACAGCAACCGAAGUCACAAAUCAUAAAUAAUAAAAGAUAGAAAAAUCCUCUUUUAACCUAAUGGACUGAAUGACUUCUUGCUUUGUAUUUCUGCUAAUGGCCCCUCUCCCCUGGCACUACCGGAGCUGGCCCACUACAGGCAAAUCAAGCCUCAGUCUGCAAGCAGGACCUGGUCCAAAAGAGCAUUUAUAAGGUGCUUGUUUGGAGCUUGUGUUUUCCCUGGAAACCAUCUUCCCAGGGUGCCCGGUUCUCAGGGUCGCUGCCUGGCGCCAUUGAGCCCCUACUGUCCCUGGGCGCUGGGCCUUUGAGGGCAGGAGGGAGAGAGCAAGUCAACUCUGGCUGUCCACCUACAGCCCUGGCUCUGGGUACCAUUUAAAUGUAAGUCAGCUUCCUUUUCCAUCUUCCCACUCCCUCGUGGCUUUCAGGUCCCUGUGCCCUCACCUGUAGCACAGCACCCUCCCCAUUCUCUGGGCUGCUCUCCUGCUGGGGGACUCCUGACCACAAAUGGCCCACCUGUCCCCACUUCCUGACUAA